GACGAACGCUGGCGGCGUGCCUAAUACAUGCAAGUCGAACGCUUCUUUCCUCCCGAGUGCUUGCACUCAAUUGGAAAGAGGAGUGGCGGACGGUUGAGUAACACGCGGGUAACCUACCCAUCAGAGGGGGAUAACACUUGGAAACAGGUGCUAAUACCGCAUAACAGUUUAUGCCGCAUGGCAUAAGAGUGAAAGGCGCUUUCGGGUGUCGCUGAUGGAUGGACCCGCGGUGCAUUAGCUAGUUGGUGAGGUAACGGCUCACCAAGGCCACGAUCCAUAGCCGACCUGAGAGGGUGAUCGGCCACACUGGGACUGAGACACGGCCCAGACUCCUACGGGAGGCAGCAGUAGGGAAUCUUCGGCAAUGGACGAAAGUCUGACCGAGCAACGCCGCGUGAGUGAAGAAGGUUUUCGGAUCGUAAAACUCUGUUGUUCGAGAAGAACAAGGACGUUAGUAACUGAACGUCCCCUGACGGUAUCUAACCAGAAAGCCACGGCUAACUACGUG
rnacentral:rRNA from 1 species